rnacentral:rRNA from 1 species
GAUGAACGCUAGCUACAGGCUUAACACAUGCAAGUCGAGGGGUAACGAGAGGAAAGCUUGCUUUCCUUGUCGACGACCGGCGCACGGGUGAGUAACGCGUAUCCAACCUGCCCCCAACUAAGGAAUAACCUUGCGAAAGUAAGACUAAUACCUUAUAAUUUCCUCAGAUGUCAUCUGACGAGGAAUAAAGAUUUAUCGGUUGUGGAUGGGGAUGCGUCUGAUUAGCUUGUUGGCGGGGUAACGGCCCACCAAGGCAACGAUCAGUAGGGGUUUGAAGAGGAAGGUCCCCCACAUUGGAACUGAGACACGGUCCAAACUCCUACGGGAGGCAGCAGUGAGGAAUAUUGGUCAAUGGGCGAAAGCCUGAACCAGCCAAGUAGCGUGCAGGAUGACGGCCCUAUGGGUUGUAAACUGCUUUUAUACAGGAAUAAAGUUAGCCACGUGUGGUUAUUUGUAGGUACUGUAUGAAUAAGGACCGGCUAAUUCCGUGCCAGCAGCCGCCGCCG